CUGCAGCCAAUCAGGUGCACUGUGCUCCUUUUCUCUGUGGGAGCCUGGUGUGCAAUGGCUGGAAUGGCUGGAAAAUGUAGCCUCUUCGGUAGUGCAUGCAGCCAGUUGCCUUAAAGGACUGUGAAGACAGCC
ensembl:snoRNA SNORA70 Small nucleolar RNA SNORA70